rnacentral:rRNA from 1 species
UACGUAGGGUGCGAGCGUUGUCCGGAAUUACUGGGCGUAAAGAGCUCGUAGGUGGUUUGUCGCGUUGUUCGUGAAAACUCACAACUCAAUUGUGGGCGUGCGGGCGAUACGGGCAGACUGGAGUACUGCAGGGGAGACUGGAAUUCCUGGUGUAGCGGUGAAAUGCGCAGAUAUCAGGAGGAACACCGGUGGCGAAGGCGGGUCUCUGGGCCGUAACUGACGCUGAGGAGCGAAAGCAUGGGGAGCGAACAGG